GAUGAAGAACGUAGCGAAAUGCGAUAAGUAAUGUGAAAUGCAGAAUUCAGUGAAUCAUCGAAUCUUUGAACGCACAUUGCGCCCCUUGGUAUUCCGAGGGGCAUGCCUGUUCGAGCGUCAUAUUAACCACUCCCGCUUGCGGGGUCUUGGGCUUCGCCUCCGGGCGGGCCUUAAAAUCAGUGGCGGUGCCGUCGGGCUCUACGCGUAGUAAAUUUUCUCGCGAUAGGGUCCCGGUGGAUGCUUGCCAACAACCCCCAACUUCUUAAGGUUGACCUCGGAUCAGGUAGGGAUACCCGCUGAACUUAAGCAUAUCAAUAAGCGGAGGA
rnacentral:misc_RNA from 1 species